UGGCUAUAAAUAGAACUCUUACUUCAUUUCAUUUCCACCAAAUUAAGAGAAGAGGAAGGAGAAGGAGAAAGAAGAAGGUGGAGAGCAAGGGAGGAGGAAGAAGAUGGGAAAAAGGCGAACACCUACCCAUUGAAGAUGGUGGAACCAGUGCAGAGGCAGGCUUGGGACUUCGGUGGCAAUGCUAAGGCUUGUGUCUGUGAAACACCGUGUUGAUGAACAUCACUUCUUUAUUUUCAAUUAUUUAUCCUUAUGUAUUAUUUAUAAUCUUGUAAUACCUGGGAUCGAAAUUUAAAUGAAUUUUGGUAUAUGGUAAUUAUCAUUUAGUGAA